rnacentral:rRNA from 1 species
AGAGAGAGACAUGCGCGCAUAUCAAUAAGCGGAGGAAAAGAAACUAACAAGGAUUCCCUUAGUAACGGCGAGUGAAGCGGGAAGAGCUCAAAUUUGAAAUCUUCAAGGUUUUACCUUGACGAAUUGUAGUUUAAAGAAGUGUUUUCUGCUGAAGUUUUGGUAAAAGUUCUUUGGAAUAGGACAUCAUAGAGGGUGAGAAUCCCGUAUUUGACCAUUAUUUUCAGCUUUGUGAUACACUUUCAAAGAGUCGGAUUGUUUGGGAAUGCAGUCCAAAAUGGGUGGUAAAUUUCAUCUAAAGCUAAAUAUUGGCGAGAGACCGAUAGCGAACAAGUACCGUGAGGGAAAGAUGAAAGGAACUUUGAAAAGAGAGUUAAACAGUACGUGAAAUUGUCAAAAGGGAAGCGUUUGACACCAGUGUUGUUUUCUCGAAAAUCAAUUAAAAAUGGCUCGAUUUUGUAUUGCUGAGACCUUAAAAGCUCACUGUACAUUUUUCGUGUCUUUUUUAAUGCACUUUUCGUUUAACAAGUCAACAUCAGUUUCUUUUGUUGUAAAAGGGUCAUUGGAAGGUGGCUUUCUUUUCGGAGAAAGUGUUUAUAGCCUUUGGCCUCUGCAAUCGAAGAGACUGAGGUCUGCAGCGUAGACUCUUCGGGGUUAGAUACAUUUGUGCUAAGUUAUAGCUUUUUAUAGACAACUUGUUGACUAUAAUUAGUCUUGUAGCAUUACUCGCUUAUGCUAUUUUACCUACGCUUAGGAUGUUGAAGAUGUAGCACAUCAU